rnacentral:rRNA from 1 species
GGACCUGACUGCUAUCGGAUUGAUACUAAGCCAUGUGAGUCAUUGUAGCAAUACAAGGCAGACGGCUCAGUAACACGUAGCCAACCUACCCUAUGGACGGGGAUAACCUCGGGAAACUGAGGAUAAACCCCGAUAGAUCAUAAUGCCUGGAACGGUUUAUGGUCCAAAUGAUUCGUCGCCGUAGGAUGGGACUGCGGCCUAUCAGCUUGUUGGUGAGGUAAUGGCCCACCAAGGCUAUUACAGGUACGGGCUCUGAGAGGAGAAGCCCGGAGAUGGGUACUGAGACACGGACCCAGGCCCUAUGGGGCGCAGCAGGCGAGAAAACUUUGCAAUGUGCGCAAGCACGACAAGGUUAAUCCGAGUGAUUCCUGCUAAAGGAAUCUUUUGCUAGUCCUAAAAACACUAGCGAAUAAGGGGUGGGCAAGUUCUGGUGUCAGCCGCCGCGGUAAAACCAGCACCUCAAGUGGUCAGGAGGAUUAUUGGGCCUAAAGCAUCCGUAGCCUGCUCUGUAAGUUUCCGGUUAAAUCCAUUAGCUCAACUGAUGGGCCGCCGGAAAAACUGCAAAGCUAGGGAGUGGGAGAGGUAGACGGUACUCGGUAGGAAGGGGUAAAAUCCUUUGAUCUAUUGAUGACCACCUGUGGCGAAGGCGGUCUACCAGAACACGUUCGACGGUGAGGGAUGAAAGCUGGGGGAGCAAACCGGAUUAGAUACCCGGGUAGUCCCAGCUGUAAACGAUGCAGACUCGGUGAUGCCCUGGCUUGUGGCCAGUGCGGUGCCGCAGGGAAGCCGUUAAGUUUGCCGCCUGGGAAGUACGUACGCNAGUAUGAAACUUAA